AUUGUUAAGGUAGAGAAGGAUCGCUUCUCGGUCGCUGCUUUCAUUCUCAGGUGUAGAUAUAAACAUCCUCUUGACGACAUCGAGCACUUGUCUUUCAUCAACCGCUCGGGUCAUACUAUCCGAACUGCUUAGCUUUUGGGUUGCAUUUCCAAUUUGCGUUGCUAUCACGGUCGUCUGCAGUGCCAGAAGCGUCGUCAUCUAAUUUGUGACGUGCAUGAAUGAAUUAACAAUAUCACCACUCUCCCUAUCUACUAUCUAACGAACCCACAGCUAAGGGAACGGUCUUGGCGGAACCAGCGGGGAAAGGAAACCCUGCUGAGUUGACUCUAAUCCGGCUUUGUGGAACGACUUAGGGGGUGUACCAUAGGUGGGAGCUUCGGCGAUCGUGAAGUACCACUAUCAUCAGUGUCGUUUUACUUAUUUCAUCAAGUUGAGACAUGCGCAGCAUGUGUUUUUGCCUCAGGGCGCACUUUUUGGAGCUGAUCAAUGCGGAAGAGACGGACAGGUGGAGAGCUUGGCUGGGGCGGCACAUAUAGGAAACAACAGCGCAGGUGUCGAAAGGCAGGCUCAAUGAGAACAGAGACUUCAUGCCGACCAAUAGGGUAAAAGCUAGCUUGAUUUUGAUUUUCAGUACGAAUACAAACGGUGGAAGCAUGGCCUAUCGGUCCUUUAGGUCUGAGAAGCGUUCAGCUAAAGGUCUCAGGGAAGUUACCAUACUACGCCGUGCAACUGCAAUACGAAUAUUCCGUGCUCCCCAUGAUUAAAUUUCACAGGCUUGCUGAAAUGUC
rnacentral:ncRNA from 1 species